CUUUCAAUCACUUCUGUGCUAAAAAACAACAAAAAAUUAUCACAGCUAAUAAAAAGGAAAGUAAGUCUUAGAGCUUGCCAUUAUGUCUCCAUGAAUGGCCUUUCCACCCACAGAAAAAGUAUAGAUGACAGCUUUAGGGAAUAUUUAGGAAGGAUAGGUAGAGUUCAUUUUUAUAAAAGCAUUUUCAGGGACAAAAAAAGAUGAAAUGAACAAUUUCUGAUCCUGGAGUGGUCUGCAGUCCACCAGGGGAUGUCAUUGAUGGUAAGAGGGAUUUGAGGCAAGGCACAGUUAGUACCCUCAUGGGCCAGAAACCUGGUUCUGAAACUUGCCUACAUAUUUGCAGUGCCUCAGGAACUUUAAAAGACACUGCAGCCUAGUUCUCACCUUGCUUUACCUAUUGAAUAGGUUUUGGCUGUUGCCUGGGCACAGGGAUAUUAAGGACUCUCCAGGUGGUUCUUCUAAGCAGCCAAGGUGGAAAACAACUGACUCCAUGUUCCCAAGAUGUGUGUUGGGGACAAGGCAAACUUCCAGCAGAAGCAGCUUUCUUGUAAGCAUGGUUACUACUAUUAUUACUGAGUUAUUAUUCAUUUAGCAGAAGUCACACUUUGAAAGUGUGCAAUUCGGUGGUUUUUAGUGUAAUUUUGAGGUUGUGCCAUCACUACCACUGUGUUCAUGUGAUCAUUUUAAGGAUGUAGACAGGUCUGAUAGUUGGAAGUCAGAGGCAGGAGCAGUCCCCAGGGAGUUUGCUUUGCAGUAGCAUCCUGUUGAGAUAUGGUAAGGAGAUCAGGGGAAGCUGCUCUAACCUUAGCCUAGGAGAGAUGUCACCAGGGAAAUAAGGAGAGAGCGUGAUGCUAGACAGCAGGUUGUGGCACCUGCGGGCUUUGAUAGGAGAGUAGAGGCAUCCUGUGUUAAAAUCAGCAGAUGCAGCAGCUGUGGGUUGGCUUGAAGCAUUAUGGUGACAAUAGGAG
rnacentral:lncRNA from 1 species